AAUGGGCGGGAGCCUGAACCAGCCAAGUCGCGUGAAGGAAGAAGGAUCUAUGGUUCGUAAACUUCUUUUGCAGGGGAAUAAAGUGCAGGACGUGUCCUGUUUUGUAUGUACCCUGAGAAUAAGGAUCGGCUAACUCCGUGCCAGCAGCCGCGGUAAUACGGAGGAUCCGAGCGUUAUCCGGANUUNUUGGGUUUAAAGGGNGCGUAGGCGGGCGCCUAAGUCAGAGGUGAAAUGCCGCGGCUCAACCGUGGAACUGCCGUUGAAACUGGGCGCCUUGGAUGCGGUCGAGGCCGGCGGAAUGCGUGGUGUAGCGGUGAAAUGCUUAGAUAUCACGCAGAACGCCAAUUGCGAAGGCAGCUGGCCGGGCCGCAAUCGACGCUGAGGCACGAAAGCGUGGGGAUCAAA
rnacentral:rRNA from 1 species